AGCGAACGCUGGCGGCAGGCCUAACACAUGCAAGUCGAACGAACCUUUCGGGGUUAGUGGCGGACGGGUGAGUAACACGUGGGAACGUGCCCUUAGGUUCGGAAUAACUCAGGGAAACUUGUGCUAAUACCGAAUGUGCCCUUCGGGGGAAAGAUUUAUCGCCUUUAGAGCGGCCCGCGUCUGUUUAGCUAGUUGGUUGAGGUAAUGGCUCACCAAGGCGACGAUCAGUAGCUGGUCUGAGAGGAUGCUCAGCCACAUUGGGACUGAGACACGGCCCACACUCCGACGGGGGGCAGCAGUGGGGAAUCUUGCGCGAUGGGCGAAGGCCUGACGCAGCCAUGCCGCGUGAAUGAUGAAGGUCUUAGGAUUGUAAAAUUCUUUCACCGGGGACGAUAAUGACGGUACCCGGAGAAGAAGCCCCGGCUAACUUCGUG
rnacentral:rRNA from 1 species